rnacentral:lncRNA from 1 species
GUCGCCUUAAAGGCAUGAGAUUCCUCGUUGGUACCGGAAGCCAACUCAUAAAAGCAUCAAUAAAGAGGGAUAAAGCUUUUAUAUUCGGUUCGAUCAUAAAAAAAUUAUGAUCAGAUCGUCAUCGUCUAUCACGUAUCCUCCAUCCCACGAAUCAUAAAGCAGAAGCAGAAAGAGAAAAAAAGAAGAGAGGAGGAGGGAAGGA